rnacentral:rRNA from 1 species
AGAACGAACGCUGGCGGCAGGCCUAACACAUGCAAGUCGAACGAAGCCUUCGGGCUUAGUGGCGGACGGGUUAGUAACGCGUGGGAACGUGCCUUUCACUACGGAAUAGUCCCGGGAAACUGGGUUUAAUACCGUAUACGCCCUUCGGGGGAAAGAAUUUCGGUGAAAGAUCGGCCCGCGUUAGAUUAGGUAGUUGGUGGGGUAAUGGCCUACCAAGCCUACGAUCUAUAGCUGGUUUUAGAGGAUGAUCAGCAACACUGGGACUGAGACACGGCCCAGACUCCUACGGGAGGCAGCAGUGGGGAAUCUUGGACAAUGGGCGCAAGCCUGAUCCAGCCAUGCCGCGUGAGUGAUGAAGGCCUUAGGGUCGUAAAGCUCUUUCGCCAGGGAUGAUAAUGACAGUACCUGGUAAAGAAACCCCGGCUAACUCCGUGCCAGCAGCCGCGGUAAUACGGAGGGGGUUAGCGUUGUUCGGAAUUACUGGGCGUAAAGCGCGCGUAGGCGGAUUGGAAAGUUGGGGGUGAAAUCCCGGGGCUCAACCCCGGAACGGCCUCCAAAACUCCCAGUCUUGAGUUCGAGAGAGGUGAGUGGAAUUCCGAGUGUAGAGGUGAAAUUCGUAGAUAUUCGGAGGAACACCAGUGGCGAAGGCGGCUCACUGGCUCGAUACUGAC